rnacentral:snRNA from 1 species
UUGCUCACAUCAGCAGCACAUAUACUAAAAAUGCAAUGAUACAGAGAAGAUUUGCAUGGCCCUGGUGCAAAUAUCCCUUCUAAUUCCCUGAUACAACAGAAAAUAGA